CAAUAACAUGUAGCAUGGGAUAAUGGAAUAGGACCCUGUCUUCCUAUUUUCAGUUGGUUUUGGCAGCGCGAGGACUAGGGUAAUGAUUAAUAGGGAUAGUUGGGGGCAUUAAUAUUUAAUUGUCAGAGGUGAAAUUCUUGGAUUUAUGAAAGAUUAACUUCUGCGAAAGCAUCUGCCAAGGAUGUUUUCAUUAAUCAAGAACGAAAGUUAGGGGAUCGAAGACGAUCAGAUACCGUCGUAGUCUUAACCAUAAACGAUGCCGACCAGCGAUUAGGAGACGUUGAAUACAAAACACCACCAUCGGCGCGGUCGUCCUUGGCGUCUCGCGUUCGCGCGCGGCGCGAGGGCGGCUUACCCCGGUGGCACCGGUGAAUGACUCCCCUAGCAGCUUGUGA
rnacentral:rRNA from 1 species